rnacentral:rRNA from 1 species
CAGAGGGUGCAAGCGUUAAUCGGAAUUACUGGGCGUAAAGGGCUUGUAGGCGGUUAAUUAAGUUAGAUGUGAAAUACCUGGGCUUAACCUGGGAAUGGCAUUUAAUACUGAUUAGCUAGAGUAUGGUAGAGGAAGGGGAAUUUCCGGUGUAGCAGUGAAAUGCGUAGAUAUCGGAAGGAACAUCAGUGGCGAAGGCGCCUUUCUGGACUAAUACUGACGCUGAGGAGCGAAGGCGUGGGGAGCAAACAGGAUUAGAUACCCUGGUAGUCCACGCGGUAAACGAUGAGUACUAGCCGCUGGAGCAUUAGUUCAAGUGGCGAAGUUAACACGAUAAGUACUCCGCCUGGGAAGUACGGUCGCAAGAUUA